GACGAACGCUGGCGGCGUGCUUAACACAUGCAAGUCGAACGGAAAGGCCCUGCUUUUGUGGGGUGCUCGAGUGGCGAACGGGUGAGUAACACGUGAGUAACCUGCCCUUGACUUUGGGAUAACUUCAGGAAACUGGGGCUAAUACCGGAUAGGAGCUCCUGCUGCAUGGUGGGGGUUGGAAAGUUUCGGCGGUUGGGGAUGGACUCGCGGCUUAUCAGCUUGUUGGUGGGGUAGUGGCUUACCAAGGCUUUGACGGGUAGCCGGCCUAAGAGGGUGACCGGCCACAUUGGGACUGAGAUACGGCCAAGACUCCUACGGGAGGCAGCAGUGGGGAAUAUUGCACAAUGGGCGGAAGCCUGAUGCAGCAACGCCGCGUGCGGGAUGACGGCCUUCGGGUUGUAAACCGCUUUCGCCUGUGACGAAGCGUGAGUGACGGUAAUGGGUAAAGAAGCACCGGCUAACUACGUG
rnacentral:rRNA from 1 species